rnacentral:lncRNA from 1 species
UGCCCGCCGCCGCCGGCCCGUCCACGGAUCCGAUACGUGUCUCCAUCAAGAUCCGAUAAACCGCAGAGGAAGAGGAGGCAGCACCGCAGCAGCGCCUACACUAGUGAAUAGUGACGAGGAGGAGUGGAAUGCGAGGCCGCGAAUAUAAUACGCUUUCCUGGACUUGUUUGAGGUUUUCGCUUUGACGACUUGACGCUUGUUGAUUUGGGCUCGGUGGAU